GCCCCCCCCCCAAAAUCUGGGGGUCACCGGGGGGGGAUCCCCAAAAUCUGGGGGGGAGCACCCCAAAAGGUGGGAGCCCCAAGGGCGGGGGGGGCAUUCCAAAAUUUGGGGGGGCACCCCGAAAUCUGGGGGCCCCAAGAAGGGCACCCCAAAAUCUGGGGGGGGCCACCCCAAAAUCUUGGGGAUCCACCCCAAAUCUGCGGGCCACCAGGAGGGGGGGGCCACCCCAAAAUCUUGGGGGGGGCCCCCAACUGGGGGGGUCCCCAAAUCUCCCCUGGGUAUCCCCAAGGCCAAGCCCCACCCCCCUGUGAUGACAUCAGAGGCCAGGCAGCCAAUCCCGUUGUCCGAAGGUGACGCGAGCCCCCUGGCUGAACCGUUGUCCAAUGAGAGGCCGAGGCCUCCAGGUGGCCGAGGCCGUCGUCCAAUCAAGAUCUUUGGCACCCACGACGGCCGAGCCCCUCGUCCAAUGGCGAGGAGCUACCCCAAGGGGCCAGCCAACAGGCCGGCUGGCCAAAUCCAUCGGCCAAUCACAAGCCACGGCGUUCCAGCUGGCCAAACUCAUCAGCCAAUGAUGGACAACGGUGUUCCCGAUGACCAAACCCAUCAGCCAAUCACAAGCCACGGCGUUCCAGGUAGCCAAACCCAUCGGCCAAUGACGAAGGACGGCGUUCCGGUUGGCCAAACCCCCCAGUCAACGUCUGAUUGGCCAAACCAUCAGCCAAUGGUGAGCCACGGCGCUCUGAUUGACCAAUCGAUGGUCGAUGACCAAUCACGGCGUUCCAGUUGGCCAAACCCAUCAACCAAUGAUGAACGACGGCAUUUCAGUUAGCCAAACCCAUUGGACGAUGUUCUGUUGGCCAAACCCAUCACUUGACGUCCAAACACCGCUUUCCAGUUGGCCAAACCCAUCAGCCAAUGACUAAAAACGGUGUUCCCAUCGGCCAAACCCAUCGCCCAAUGUUCCAUUGGUCAAACCCAUCAACUGAUGGCCAACCACAGCGUUCCAGUUGGCCAAACCCAUCAACCAAUGACAAAUGACGGCGUUCCGGCUGGCCAAACCCAUCGCCCAAUGUUUCAUUGGCCAAACCCAUCGGUCGAUGGCCAACCACAGCAUCCCACUUGGCCAAACCCAUCAACCAAUCACAAACAAAGGCUUUCUGGUUGGCCAAAACCCAUUGGACAAUGUUCCGUUGGCCAAACCCAUCAGUCAAUAACCAACCACGUUGUUCCAGUUGGCCAAACCCAUCAACCAAUGACGAUCAACAGCAUUCCAGUUGGCCAAACCCAUCGCCCAAUGUUCCGUUGGCCAAACCCAUCGGUCGAUGACCAACCACAGCGUCCCACUUGGGCAAACCCAUCAACCAAUCACAAACAAAGGCUUUCUGGUUGGCCAAAACCCAUCAACCAAUGACGAUCAACGGCGUUCCAGUUGGCCAAACCCAUCGCCCAAUGUUCCG
rnacentral:lncRNA from 1 species